CAGUCGCCACGGUAAUACGUAGGUUGCAAGCGUUAAUCGGAAUUACUGGGCGUAAAGCGUGCGCAGGCGGUUAUAUAAGACAGAUGUGAAAUCCCCGGGCUCAACCUGGGAACUGCAUUUGUGACUGUAUAGCUAGAGUACGGCAGAGGGGGAUGGAAUUCCGCGUGUAGCAGUGAAAUGCGUAGAUAUGCGGAGGAACACCGAUGGCGAAGGCAAUCCCCUGGGCCUGUACUGACGCUCAUGCACGAAAGCGUGGGGAGCAAACAGGAUUAGAUACCCUAGUAGUCCCUGUCUCUUAUGC
rnacentral:rRNA from 1 species